ACGAACGCUGGCGGCGUGCCUAAUACAUGCAGGUUGAGCGCUGAAGGUUGGUACUUGUACCAACUGGAUGAGCAGCGAACGGGUGAGUAACGCGUGGGGAAUCUGCCUUUGAGCGGGGGACAACAUUUGGAAACGAAUGCUAAUACCGCAUAAAAACUUUAAACACAAGUUUUAAGUUUGAAAGAUGCAAUUGCAUCACUCAAAGAUGAUCCCGCGUUGUAUUAGCUAGUUGGUGAGGUAAAGGCUCACCAAGGCGAUGAUACAUAGCCGACCUGAGAGGGUGAUCGGCCACAUUGGGACUGAGACACGGCCCAAACUCCUACGGGAGGCAGCAGUAGGGAAUCUUCGGCAAUGGACGAAAGUCUGACCGAGCAACGCCGCGUGAGUGAAGAAGGUUUUCGGAUCGUAAAACUCUGUUGGUAGAGAAGAACGUUGGUGAGAGUGGAAAGCUCAUCAAGUGACGGUAACUACCCAGAAAGGGACGGCUAACUACGUG
rnacentral:rRNA from 1 species